ensembl:lncRNA
GGCAAAAUAAAACAAAACCAAGCCCCUGAUGCUUUUUGGUUAUAGAACCAGAAAGGACUUAAGAACUUAUUUAUGUAUUUUAUUAAGAUGUCAACAGUCAUAUACAUAAUAUUAAUUAUUUGCUUAGCAGUAUUUUCAGCUUAGGGACAGAACUAUGACUUCCUCCAAGCCGGAACAGAGAACAACUAGAUAAAAACAUGCUGUGUGUCAGAGGUAAAGUCAUUCAUAGUGUAUGUAGAAUCAUGGCGUUAUAGAUACAGCACGGUCCAUUAAAAGAGAACACUUGUACAGAAUUAUCCAUACGGGCGGCAUUUAAAAGGCUUAAGUUGGGUUGCCUUAGGAGCAGAAAAAGACUGCAAUUGUAUUCCUGAUUGAAACUGUCAAGGAGGCAUACACUUAUAUGCAACCUGAUGGCCACACUGUGGAGAAGUGCUAUGUGUGUGCGGAUGGCUCAUCCCAGCAAGGCUAUUUUGACCUCAAGGGUCCCCAACAGGACAAACAGAAGCCAAGGGCCCUGAUUUUUUGACGGAAUCUGGAAAGCAAAAUUCUUCCUACACCACCACCAUUUGAGAGAAGCAGAUAUGCACCAUCUGUGCUAUUCCAUUUAGGAAAAUGUUUGUGAAAUCAACAUCCCCAGUAGCUUGAUCCACAGUCAGCAUCAGCAAGGCCUUCUCCUCAUCUAACGAGAGAAAGCCCAUUCCAGGCCCAGAUAUGCCUGAACCAUAGCUCUGCUUUCAUUUUCCAUUUAUUUGGAAAGCCCAUUUUAACUCGAUCAUCCCAUAACUCUGAGUUAAUACCCUUCUCUGGGUAGUUCUGAUAAUAAAUUUGGUUCCAGAAUGGUGGUCACAAAUCCGUUUCCCACCAGAAAGGUAUGGCGCUGCAGUUUCUAAUGGUUAUUUACAGGAAGUCUAAAGGGAAAGAAUGCACAUUGCUUCAAAGAGCAGUUUGCCCAUUUAAAUAAGAGUGAAAUGUCAUUGAAGGCUGGAGUUGAUGUGCUGUGAAAUGGCCUGAACUGGAAACAAGCCUUCUGAAUUUUAACACAGUAACUCUUGGGCAUAUGAGAAGGGGAGAAAAUCCAUGGAGUAGAAAGUUGUGUAUGGCCAAAAUAUUUACAAUGAAAAGCAAUUAGCUCAUUGAUAAUAAAGUUUAAGACCUGUACCCUAGGCAUUGCUCUAUGAACUCUUACAACAAAGUUGAAAUGGGUAUUGUUAUCAGUCCCAUUUUACAGAUGAAGGAACUGAGGUCAUACAGCUAAUGAAGUGGUCAAUCCAGCAAUUGAAUUAAUACAACUUGGAGAUGUAAAAGUGUACUUUAAUCUGUCUUGUAGUCUAUACUGCUAUAUACAUUGGAGGUAAAAUUAGGUAAAAAUGAGUGGUGGUUUGUGGCAAGAAACAGUGGUUGGGGAGCAGGUGCCAUUGGCAUCACUGAACAUUCUCCUAGAAGAGAAGUGCUCCAUAUUGCAGUCUCAGGACCUUUCAAUGCUCUUAACAGUUAUUGACAACUAAAUGUCUUUUGUUUAGUCAUUCAAUCCUGGGACAGAGAAAUGAUGCUCGUUAAAAGACUGGUGAAAUCCAAAUAAAGUCUGGAACUAAGAGCAAUGCAUCAAAGGUGGCUCCUUGGGUGUGACAGAUGAAUCACAGUGAUGUAAGAUGUUACCUUUUGGGGAAACCAAGGGAGGGGUACAUAGCAAGUCACGCUAUUAUCUUUGCGUCUCUGUACCUUUAAAAAUGUCCAAAUUAAAGUUUAUUUAAAAAAAAGAGUGAUUUUCUUGUAAUAACCUAUGAUGAAAAAGAAGCUGGAAAGGAACAUAUAGAUUAUAUACACAAAUAGAUUAUAUACGUGUGUGCAUGUGUGUGUGUAUAGCUGAAUCACUUUGCUGUACAUCCGAAACAACCACAACAUUGUAAAUCCACUGUACUUCAAUAAAUAAAUAAAUAAAUAAAAUUAAAUGUGAUUAAUGACUCCAAAGAGCUCUUGAGAUCAACAUAGCAAAGUAGCACAAUGUUAACAGGGUUAACAAGAUGCUUGAAGGAUCAUGUUUUUCUCACUGACCUGUUUUAUUUUUAUUGUCAGUUGACAACAAUAUUGUCAGUUGUUUUCCUUAAAGGAACAGGUUAAUAUUCAAUAAAGCACAUGUGAAAUACCCAACUCCAAAGGGUGGUUUGUUAAAACCCAGUUCUCCUUUGAAACAAAAAGUGUCCCUUGGGAAAGCUUAACUCACAAUUCAAACAACUUCACAAGACCUUUCCCUGGAAACAACCCUGUUCUUCCUUCAAUGUGUGGCUGAAGAGCUCUGGGUACAUGCUGUGUUGUGACUGAAGACCAAGGAGGUACACACCAUGGUCAACAUCAACGGCGAGAGUGUGUGUUGAAGAAUCCAGUGAAUAAAAACAACUGUACUUUGGUUCCACCAUCUUAAUUUGUGCCAAGGCUCUAGCAAUUUUACCCACAGUUGCUUUUGCAACAUCAGGGUCAAUGCCAAUGGAGUGGAAACAUAUUAAUAAGGUUUUAAUGGUAUUACGACAGUAAUUGUGAUCUUCGGCACCUGCUUUAUGUGUGUCGGGGACCCUCAGAGGUUCACUCUUGAGAAUUGGCCUUCCAAGUUUUUCCAUCCUCACCUCACUUGAGAAAGUCAAAUGUUUUGUUGAGGCUGCACAAUACAUAUUAAGCUUAGCUUACAAAUUAUGUCUGAUCAACAGGAAAACUAAGUUGGCAUGGAUAAGUUGUGCAAAUGUAACGUGGGAAUGACACUGGGAUGACAUCUAGGUCACACUUCUUGGAUGUCUCUCUGCUGGCUGCCCAUGCAUCUCACUAAAGAUAUAGUCUUAAUAAUUAGAUAAUUAUACAGUACACAUUAUUGUAAAUAGAAGAUUUGCAAGAUCUAGAAUGAAAAUAUAUAUAAAUACAUUGAAAAAAUUCUGGAAGUCAGUGUAUCAAACUGCGAACAGUGCUUUAGAGGAAGAGAGAAACUUCAUAGGUGAAGAAAAAGAGAUGCUUUCUUUGUAUUCUUUUGUUGUUGCUGCUGUUCUUGUCUGGAAUUAUAAUCUGAUAAAAUAUACUUUGGGCAAUUAAAAAAAUGUGGUUCUCUAAAACCUAAGAUAAAUGCACAGAAAUUGAGAUGUGCCUGCAAGGGUUGAUCCUUCACUUGCUGUGUUUCUUUGGGAGAGUUGCUUGUCCUAUCUGUGCCUAUUUCCUAAUGUAUUUGUUGAGGAUUUUUGACUAUAUAGGAUACCUAUCAUUCUAUUAAAUGAUUGUCCUGAGGUAUGAAUCUGGGGCAGAAAACCAAGAAAAUAUAUAAAGUGGGAGACAAUUUGCAUUUGGAAAGCCUAUACUCAAAGGAAAAGAGUCUGUUCUUAUAAUUAAUUCAGAGUAUGAUAAACCUGUACUGUUGAGAUGGCCAAGAUGCCUGCAUUUGAACAUGAUAAGAAUAAAGAGGAACUCAAGCUGCAAAGAAAUCAACAAAAUCCAAUGCAGGCCAGAGGUGGGGAAUUUGCAUUCAAAUUCUCCAUCUAAACUUUUUGCCAAAGGAUAGUGGGUACCUUCAAUCUAAAUUUAGAAAGAAAAAUCAUUUUUGGAAAUAAUUUCAAUAAGUGUUUUUUUUUUAAAGACUCUCAACAUGCUUGUGCUAAACCAGCAUUUCCAGCCAUAAUUACUGGUAGCAGUUUUUUAAAGUGCUAAGUAUUUCCGUUAAAAAGUAGUCUGUUUCUAGCUAUCAAGUGUUUUGAAAAUGGAGAUAUCUUCAGAGAGGUUAGUACAAGAGAAUGAUUACAUCGCAGGAGAAAUGCUCUGGGUAAACGAGGCUGAAAACUUGCAGGUCCAAAUUUGAAAUUAAAAUGUUUAAACAGCAAGCAAUGAACUGUAGGAAGUUCAAACACUAGUGUGGAAUAUAAUUAUGAUCUUCAGAAAAUGAAAAUGCUCGUCAACUUCUGAGUGAUGUUUCACUGAUGCUGAAACAUACCUGACUCCAUUAUGAAGUGUAAUUACUACAGAAAGCUCUCAAAAUACUGCCAUUUAAACAAAUUAUCUCCACGAGUAAUUAAAAAUACUUUCUUCACACAGAUUAUAAAUGCGUUGUUAUGAUGCUGUCACGCCCCAUUCUUGCAUCGUUAUUCAAAUAAACGUAACUGAAAGAUGAAUGGCUGAACCAGAUUGACUUGACUUUCUCCUUGACUAUCAUCCUCAAAGAUCAACCCAUUUAAUAUGAUUAUUAUGAUGCUACAUCGUGUGGGAAAAAAUGCACUAGUUUCUAUACUGCCACAAACUCAAAAGUGGUGAGAUUUCUGUGAUAAAACAAAUAAAACAGCAAAAACUGCAGCUUUUACCUUCCGGCAUUAGGAACUUACUAGAAAAGAGGAUGGUCUUUGGAUAUCAGUAUGCUCACCCAUCCAAGGGAAAGAGAAAAAGUAUGUUCCCUUGGCUGCCAGAAGAGCUAUGUUCUGAUCUUGGCUCAUGGUCAUGCCUGGGUAGCCCUGAGCCUGGUGCUCUGUCCCUGAAACAACAGCUUCAAAUAGAUGAUAUUUACAUUUUUAUAUAUAGUCCUAAGAAUUAACUCUAUUUGUGGGGGGGGUCAGAAAAAAAUCUCAAAAUUAAAAAAAAAAAAA